rnacentral:tRNA from 3 species
GGGCCGUUAGCUCAGUUGGUAGAGCAGUACACUUUUAAUGUACGGGUCGGCGGUUCGAGCCCGCCACGGCUCACCA